rnacentral:rRNA from 1 species
UGGGGAAUAUUGCACAAUGGAGGGAACUCUGAUGCAGCGACGCCGCGUGAACGAAGAAGGCUUUCGAGUCGUAAAGUUCUUUUAUAUGGGAAGAUAAUGACGGUACCAUAAGAAAAAGCCCCGGCUAACUACGUGCCAGCAGCCGCGGUAAUACGUAGGGGGCUAGCGUUGUCCGGAAUCACUGGGCGUAAAGGGUUCGCAGGCGGAAAUGCAAGUCAGGUGUAAAAGGCAGUAGCUUAACUACUGUAAGCAUUUGAAACUGCAUAUCUUGAGAAGAGUAGAGGUAGGUGGAAUUUUUAGUGUAGCGGUGAAAUGCGUAGAUAUUAAAAAGAAUACCGGUGGCGAAGGCGACUUACUGGGCUCAUUCUGACGCUGAGGAACGAAAGCGUGGGUAGCAAGCAGG